rnacentral:rRNA from 1 species
CCUACGGGAGGCAGCAGUGAGGAAUAUUGGUCAAUGGACGCAAGUCUGAACCAGCCAUGUCGCGUGCAGGAAGACGGCUCUAUGAGUUGUAAACUGCUUUUGUACGAGGGUAAACGCAUACACGCGUAUCUGUCUGAAAGUAUCGUAUGAAUAAGGAUCGGCUAACUCCGUGCCAGCAGCCGCGGUAAUACGGAGGAUGCAAGCGUUAUCCGGAUUUAUUGGGUUUAAAGGGUGCGUAGGUGGUCGGAUAAGUUAGAGGUGAAAUCCUGAGGCUCAACUUCGGAAUUGCCUUUGAUACUGGUCGGCGAGAGAGUGGUUGCGGUAGGCGGAAUGUAUGGUGUAGCGGUGAAAUGCUUAGAGAUCAUACAGAACACCGAUUGCGAAGGCAGCUUACCAAGCUACUUCUGACACUGAGGCACGAAAGCGUGGGGAGCAAACAGGAUUAGAUACCCGAGUAGUC